rnacentral:rRNA from 1 species
GCGUUGUUCGGAAUUACUGGGCGUAAAGCGCACGUAGGCGGACCGGAAAGUCAGAGGUGAAAUCCCAGGGCUCAACCUUGGAACUGCCUUUGAAACUAUCGGUCUGGAGUUCGAGAGAGGUGAGUGGAAUUCCGAGUGUAGAGGUGAAAUUCGUAGAUAUUCGGAGGAACACCAGUGGCGAAGGCGGCUCACUGGCUCGAUACUGACGCUGAGGUGCGAAAGCGUG